rnacentral:rRNA from 1 species
UGAGGAAUAUUGGUCAAUGGGCGAGAGCCUGAACCAGCCAAGUCGCGUGAGGGAAUAAGGCCCUACGGGUCGUAAACCUCUUUUGCCGGGGAGCAAGUCGGGGCUCGUGAGCCCUGAUGGAGAGUACCCGGAGAAAAAAUGCAUCGGCUAACUCCGUGCCAGCAGCCGCGGUAAUACGGAGGAUGCGAGCGUUAUCCGGAUUUAUUGGGUUUAAAGGGUGCGUAGGCGGGCUGGCAAGUCGGCGGUCAAAUGUCGGGGCUCAACCCCGGCCAUGCCGUCGAAACUGCCGGUCUUGAGUGAGCGAGAAGCAGGCGGAAUGCGUGGUGUAGCGGUGAAAUGCAUAGAUAUCACGCAGAACCCCGAUUGCGAAGGCAGCCUGCCGGCGCUCAACUGACGCUGAGGCACGAAAGUGCGGGGAUCGAACAGGAUUAGAUACC